rnacentral:rRNA from 1 species
CCUACGGGAGGCAGCAGUGAGAAAUAUUGGUCAAUGGACGAGAGUCUGAACCAGCCAAGUAGCGUGAAGGAUGACUGCCCUAUGGGUUGUAAACUUCUUUUAUAUGGGAAUAAAACGUUCCACGUGUGGGAUUUUGUAUGUACCAUAUGAAUAAGGAUCGGCUAACUCCGUGCCAGCAGCCGCGGUAAUACGGAGGAUCCGAGCGUUAUCCGGAUUUAUUGGGUUUAAAGGGAGCGUAGGUGGAUUGUUAAGUCAGUUGUGAAAGUUUGCGGCUCAACCGUAAAAUUGCAGUUGAAACUGGCAGUCUUGAGUACAGUAGAGGUGGGCGGAAUGCGUGGUGUAGCGGUGAAAUGCUUAGAUAUCACGAAGAACUCCGAUUGCGAAGGCAGUUCACUGGACUGCAACUGACACUGAGGCUCGAAAGUGUGGGUAUCAAACAGGAUUAGAUACCCGGGUAGUC